GUCAGAGCCUGCGGAGGAAGCCUCCAGGCGCAGACCCAGCCUCUCUCUAGGCUCUUCCUUCCUGGGGGGCCCACAGGGCGGUGCCUUUCACAGGUAGCUGGAAGACCCAGGUGGGCGGUUCAAUCUGUCACGUGGACACGCGGCUCAGCCAAUCAGAAUCCCCCGGCAGUUGAUUCCUGGAGGCUGAAUCAGUUGAACUGACGAAGCCCCAGUCUCAGGGUCAGGUGUCUCCGGGAGUCGGGACUCUUAGGUCUCCCUGGAUAGUCAGGACUCUAGACUGAGCUGUCUUGGCCACUCGGGGCAGUUGGCAGUGUAAUCAUGGUCAGGAAGGUGACCCGUGGUCAGCAGGGUCAGGCCACCCAGGGAAAGUGUGUUCCUGCGCCAGUAAUCAACCCCUGACAGCCUUUGCAUUGUCCAUGAUCUCAGCCUACCACCUCCUCCCCCUGAGGCUGGGCCAUUGCAGUGGCUGACACUGAGGAUGAAGACCAAGACAUCACAGCCUUUCUCCAGCAUCUCUCAGAACAGCACAGAGAAGGACACAGGUCUCAAUCCACAACUGCUGGAGAUGGACCCUGGCCGCAUGGGAUGGACAGACACACCUGCACCGCCCCCCCUUGCCCAGCUAUCUCCAGGUGAAGAUGCUCAGAAGAGGUUUGGGGUCCUGAAGGACAUGUUGCUCCCAUGGUCCUCAUGGGCAGGCGAUUUCUGCUACAUGAGUCAAUUCUGCCAUAUAAAAUACUUAAGUUCAGCCAUUCCAGGGUGCUGUAGGAUGUACAGCUUCCCGUCCAGCCCAACUGAACUCCAGCCAUGCCAUUUAGAUACCAAAAAUAAGGUCACUUGCUUUCCUGCCCUUUAGGGGGCCAGAGCCAGGGAAGCAAAAUGGCACUUCUGUUUACCUGUUAUAUUAUUUUUUGUAAUCCUCAUAUGUUUGAAAAAACAAUUAUAUGAAAAAGUUCAGUAAUUGCAAACAUAAAAGCAGAAAGCCCUCAGGAACCAAGAUUACUCUCUCAGGACUCGUUCUGCUUCACCUGGGACUCUGCUGCGCCCCAGGCAUCAUGUGGACAGAAUCACAGAGGGACCAUCAAGGAGUGCCUUCCCAAAGGACGGACCUCAAGUGACUGCUGUCCGAGCAAACGGUAAUGGCCACUCUGCCGGGAGAGAGGAGUAAACAGAGGGCUGGCCCAGGAGACCUGCACACUGUGCUACCGAUACUUGUCCGUCUUUAGCCUCUAAUUUAAAAAUGAGGAACACAGAGAUAGAGAGUACCUUCAAGGGUUAGCAUGGGCCGUAGAAAUGCCCUGAGCCUUUCACUCUCUCCUUUUGCAAAUUCCCAUGUUUGGAUAAUGAAGGGAGCCUGAAGGAGGUAGAUACACGAGCAGCCCCAACAGGGCUGGCUCCAUCUUCCAAAAAUGGGGACCCAUGUCCAGUGUGUGGCUUUACUGAUUCAGUGUCCAAUUGACAGGGAGAUACUGAGUGUCCAGAUGCCCAGUGCCUCCUACCUGGAACAGAGCAGGUCCGGGCUCUCCCUUGGAAAAAUCCCAUGCAAACUUGGUUAUUCAGGGAGUUUCUUCAGCAGAGCUCGCCUCUGUGGCCAACCUGGUCUUGCUGCUCAUAUUUGCCAGAAAAGCCUGGACUUGGAGAGAAACCUGUGAUGUGGACUCAGUCCUUGCCAGCCUGGCUGGUUUCAUUUCCUUAGUUCUCUCUGCGAAAGCCUAUGCUCCUGAGAAGCGACUCAGAGGGGGCAUCUGAGCACAGGGUGGGGAGCCUCGGAUGGGAAGACAUCAAAGGAACCAGAAUGUAUCAGAGAAUAUGGAGUCAGGUGCCUGAGCUCAAAGGCCCACCUGGCCACAGGCUGGCUGUGUGAUCUUGGGCAAGUUCAGCCAGCUUCUUUGUGCCUCUUUUCUCUCCUUAAUAAGAUAAAUGGCUUCACUAAUAUGCUGAAGGCUGCCAUUAAGUUCUAUGUGCCAAGAUCCAAGGGACACCCUGGGCCUCUCGGUGAGCACUACUCCUUACAGUUUACUUCCAGGAGCAACAUUGGGAGAGAACUCCUCAGAGCCUUGGCAGUCCUUUUCCUCCUGGUCCCUCUGUUUUGAGGGUGGAAUGAGGUGAAGAGCAAGUGCUUUCCCAGCUGGUCAGGUGCUCUGGACAUGUUCUAAUCCCCCAAGAGUGUACAGAUCAGAGUUCGAUAUGGCCGAUGGGUCCAAUGCCCAAGUGAGAAUCUCUUGAUGAAGUUAUUGGUGUGGGGUUUUGCUUUGGUUCUUAAUUAUAGAGAACAAAAGUAUUGAAAUUAUUACAUUUACCCUAAAGUUGUAAGCAAGUGAUGGUUAACUAAGGAAGGAGACCCAUCCUCGAACACAAGUUCCAUUCUUACCUAUCUCAUUUAAAAGAGAGAAAGGCCUCGCAGAUGGAAGAUGAUGGGAGUAGACGGGGAUUCAGCCAAUUUCAGUGUUUGGCCCCAGGAAGUGAAUUUGGGUUUGAGGACCUCUCUCUGGAAAGGUUUUAUGACCAGAUCUUCCUGGAGAUGACAUAAGUUUUUCUCACCACAUAUUUAUUUUGCUGGGGUUCAUCUUCUGCCUCCUUUUCUCUUUAACUCCAGCUGACUUUGGACUCAGUGCAGGUUGCUCACAGGGUCCUGCAAAGCAACUGUCUUCCCAGAUCUCACCCACCUCUGAGCUCCUGCUGUAUUCCUCUUUCUCAUUUUUUUCUGAGCUGAAACCUACUACUUUGGAUGAUGCAUGCUGGUGUUUUCAAAAGGGCCUUGUUUCAAACAUGGAGAGCCCACGUCUGUGUCUUUAAAAAGCUGAUUGAUUGUGUCUUUAAUAAUCUGAUAAUAAUUUAGCUUCUUCUUGAAUUUUGUGGCAUAUUUUUAGGCUUCUGCUAAACCCAUUUUUGAGGGCCAUGACAUUGUUCAUGGAUGGAGUUGUGUCAGUAGAGACAAAAUGCUAUCGUGGAGGCUCCCGUAAAACUUCAACCAAAUCUGGUCCAGGUCUUAGGCUCUGACAGGUUCUGCUGUCAUCGGAUCUCAGUGAGACCUUUGUCCCCAUUUCCUCCCUUUGUGAUUCCUCCACGGACAUCUCCCUCCAUCUGUUUGAGAAUUUCUCAGCGAUAUUCCUUGCUUGCUUUCUCUCACUCCAUCUCAUUUCCUGCUGUUCACUCGGGAAUAAAGAAAUGUCCCACACUUGAAAGAGCAAAAACAAAAAUUGGAGCUCAGAGAGGGUGGACUUGUCAAGAUCACACAGAGUUGGGAGUGUGGUAAGCCCUUGAAAUGGGGGCUCAGUGACACUGCUGCCUCCCAGGGAUUCCUAACAUCUGAGGGUCCCAGUGAGCUGGGAUGAACUCAGGACCCAAGAAGCACUGUUUGACCCUGUCACCUCCAAACCCCACCCAGUGCACAUGGCCUGAGGCUUCCAUGAUGGUAAAGAAACCUCACCUGCCUUCUUUCCCAUUAUUGCUGUGUCCCCUCUGCUAUUCAGUGCGAAAUGUCCAGACGUGAUCAAUAGAAUCAGAGAAAAAUUGAGCCCUGAGGAGAGGGGGCCAGACUCUGGGAGUUGAGAGAUUGAAGUCAGACGAGGGGCUGUUGAGCAAUGAGAUCAGAGCCUUCAAAUGUUGGGAGCUUGGCAGCAGUGCCCAGGGGAAUGGGGGGGGUGGUAUUUGGGUCCAAGUUUAUGUUGGGAAGAAUAUAAGCUUGAUUUGGAGACUCCUGAUGUUCAUGUGUCCCCAUCAAGCAGAGUUAGGAGUUGCCAGAGGAAAGAUUGGUGCUAGAAGUUCAUGUGCGAACAGGGCAGACCCCUGCACGAAGGUGGGCUCUCUCUGUUUGAAACAAGGCCCGCACACUGUGGCAGGGACACUCCCAAGGAAAUCAGACAUGUAUUUCAUCAGGGCUUUAACGCAACAUAUGAACGAGAAUCUCAUUUACUCUGUUAUGAGAUGCUAUACACCUGGAAUAGUUUAACUGGCAAAUUAUUACCAAAUCGUUCAAAAAAUUGCCAAUGCAGCAAUCAUACAAGGCUCAGGUAACAGAGUGGGUGGCCAUCACUCUGGGAGAGGGACAUAGCACCAGAGAAGGUCCUUGUGACUCAGAUCAAAGAGAACAAAUGGCAAAGAAGGGGAACAGUUGCUGUUUUCUGAAGUAAAGCCUCUUAGGUGUUAUAUGACCGUUUGUUACCUGUGAAUGUGUAACUUUGAUUUUUAAAAUAAAUUAAAAAGAGCCUCUUAACACCACCCAAUUUCUGAGCCCCAAAGAUGGUGUUCUGGUGUCUUGCAGGAGGUUCUGGUCCCAUCCGCCUGCUCCCUUCUAGGACAACCCCACCAGCAAGGAGGUCUUCUAGUUCUUUCUGUGUGUGUUCACCUGCUACUCCUGGCUGGGGCCCUAGGUUGCCCAGGAAUCUCUGAGUUCUCUCAGCUGCACUUCCAUCUGUGGUGCCCAACCUCAGUGCCUAGGACUCUGUGUACCUGACUUCCUCCAGGCAGGGCUGCUACCCCCAGGUGUCCACCUGGUACGGGCCUCCCAUGGCAGCUCUCCUCUGAUGACCAGGUGUGAAGGGGAUGCUAAGGCCAACUUGCUGCUGGCACACCCGGACCUUCUUUGCUGGCUGUUUCAAAGACCCCCUAAAGGCUCCAUGGAUUUUCCUUAGAAUAUAGUCCUGAACAGUCCCACCCAUCCUCUUCCUCCCUCUUUCCCACUAGGGCUGAUACUUGCUUUAAGGUCUGAUGGCUCACCCAGUCCUUCAUAAUUUUCACAAUGUUCCUUUCUAAAACGCUUGCAGGCUAAUCUGCUCUUGGCAACUGCUCCUCAGAGGAGGUGAAUAACAGACUCCAGCCCUUCUUCUCUCAGGCCCUGCUGCCCCUGUGGUGAGGUUGCCUGUUACAGACCAUAGAGCCAGCCUGACCUUGCCCAAAGGAUACAUGACUUCUUAGCAAGGCUGGGCCCUGCUAAGGGCUGUGUUUUGUGCACGUUCCUGCUAGUCACAUCCAGCAGAGCUGGUCUACCACUCGGAUGGCAACAGUAGAUUGGGGACCACUGUUGUCAUGGCAGGAGUGGACCAGGUGGCCGUCCUGUCUUCAGUCAUCAUGGAAACCCCAGCUAUGCAGCACUAGCAGGUGUUUUAGAUGUGCAGGCUGCUGGGCUGGCCUCUACUGCCUUCUGGCAUCAUGUUGGCAGCAGCUGUCUCAGGAAGGCACCCUGACUCUGGGUUCAAGAGCUUGCUGGGCUUCUACAUGAAGGUGUGAAGUGCGAAUGUCACCUUUUCUGACUUAACAUUUUUGUUUUCUGCUACAAACUUGGGAUAUUUUCUGAGGGAUGCUGAAGAGAUGGGGGUAGGUCGGGGAGGGAGGCAGGAAUUAGAAGGUGUCCUCCUGGGGCUACCCUUCGGCCUGGGGCAUCUGAUGGAUGAGGAGGGGAGAAUCAUUGAAAUCCUGUUUAUGAGGGCACCACAAUGACCUCAUGUUUUUGCAAAUUCUAGUGGAGAGGCUUCACUAGGUUGGGGGAGAAGCCUAAGAAUUAAGUCCCUGUCUCCUGCCACAGUUGACAGCAGUGAGGCUCCCUGGCUGAGCGUACACCCCCAGGUGGAGCACAAACAGCUUUUAACAACGGCACCGUCAUUAGCACCAAUGGCAUUGAGAGGAGGUGGCGCUGACACCCUGAGCAGGUGGCUGCCUUACUGCUCCCCGGAGAGCUUUGGCUCCAUCACUGGUGCCCACCUCAGGAAUUCCCAGGAACUACUCUUCACUGGUACACUCGGAUGCCCACCCUGCAAGGCCAGUUUGUCCCCUUCCUGUACCUCUGCAAUCACUUUGAGGCAGGAGGAGAGGGAAUUAGAGUAACCAAUGGUUAAGACGUAAGCGAAAGAACAGCAGGUGCAGCCAGUGCUAGACAACAUGUAGGCCACAUCCUGACUCCUAUUAUAGCAAGACAGACGUUUCCACUUCAGUCUCCCGACUCAUUGCGGGCCAGGCCCUCCUAGGGUGUUACCAGCUGGAGGCCUCUCAAGGGCACCCCGGGGUGUUAAAUUGUUUUAUUAAUAACUUAAUAAAACCCCCAAAGAACAUUGUGAUCAGGGCUUUUGAGCCCUUUGCUUGAGCCCACCUCCACUCUGUGGACUGUACUUCGGCUUCAGUGUGAGCUUCCGCUGCCUCAUUCUGCUGCUGCGUUGUUUGUGCACAAGCAGUGUGUGCUUCUGUUGCUUCUUUCAUUGCUUUGUUCUUUUGUUGCUUUGCUUACGUGUUUUGUUCCAUUCUUUGUUCAAUGCCCCGUGAACCUGGACAACUCAGAGUCAAGACUCUUUCCCUCAUGACACUUUGUUAUCCGAGCAUCUGCAAAUCCAUCUGUCUUCUGCAUGUGCCUUUCAAUGUGACAAAUCUAUAGACCUCGAAGGAGAAAAACCAGGGUAAGACUCCAUUCCUUAAUGAGCUCACAGUUCACUGGCUGAGACAGAAGGAAGCCACUGACUCUGAAAGGAAACCGAGUGCAGCAAAGAAGGGGUAGAGGGGCAAGCACAGAUGGGAUCAAGAGAAGGGGGAGACAAACCAUUGUCAUUAGUGUACCCUUUCUGGGAAGCAACGUGUGCGAUGAGCUUUGAAGAAGAAAUGAGUAAGCUGGGCGUCGUGGCUCACUCCUGUAAUUCCAGCAUUUCUGGGAGGCCAAAGCAGGUGGACAGCUUGAGUCCAGGAAUUUGAGACCAGCCUGGACAACAUGGUGAAACUCCGUCUGUACUGAAAAUGCAACAAGUUAGCCAGGUGUGGUGGCACGCAUGUGUGGUUCCAGCUACUCAGGAGGCUGAGGUGGGAGAAUCACCUGAGCCUGGGAGGUCAAGGCUGCAGUGAGCUGAGAUCACGACAUUGCACUCCAGCCUGGGUAACUGGAGUGAGACCCUGUCUCAAAAAAACAUACAGACAUACAUAACAUAUGGGGAAGAGACUUCCAGAGCGGUAUGGAGAGGCCAAUGCCCCUCCUCCUCCCUGUUGCCCCUCCUCCUGGAGCUGUUCGCUUCUCCCCUCUCUCCGUGCUUGGGACAGCCACAGCAACUCUCCAAAUCAUGAAACUCAAAAUGCCACUUCUAAAAAACAUCAGGGUUGGUGCCUCCGCUUCUUCUGACUCGACCUCCCUUCUCUGUCCAAUGCAGUUCUUUCCACUCAUCCAACCUCCACACUCCCUUGACAGAAGAAAAACCUGCAUCUCUGAAACCCAUGUCUGCUUGCGUAUGACCUACUUUGUGAGUCAACAAGGUGAACCUAUUCCUCAUAUUUCAUUAUCCAAUGAUUAAAAAGUCUAAAACAGACUCUGCCCCUGAGAAAGUAAUUUCAUGCACCUACAAAGAGAAAGGAAAGGACAUUCACCGUUUGACGACUGAGUUUCCAUCUGCACCCUUCAGCACUUACUAGAACUCAUUCAAAACAGUGUAACAACUCUUAUUCCUAUCAAACAAAAUAGAACUUUUUUCCUUGUAUCUAAAGAAGUUUGCACCUUUGACACAGAAUAAGGAGAUCUACUGUUCCAACAGUUACUGUGUAUAUCACCGACCAUAUUAGUCACGCCUCGAAAUCCAUCACAGAUCCACCAAAUAUUCUGUCGCCUGAAGACAGAAUUAUAAAAUUAAACUCCAACAACAUGUAUAUACAACAAAUGAAUGGAGAGAAAAAGAAAAAUGGUGAGCAUAUAAUAUUAUGUGUACAUAUUACAAGGAAAAAUAUGCAAAACUACUACCAUACUUGUUUCUGUAAUUUGCCAUGAGGCUGUGACACCUUUCAAAAUAUAUAAAUUUUUUUUAACAUUUAAAAAAAUUAUUUUAAAAAUAUAUUGUUUUCACUACACUUCUUUCAUUUUGCGGAAUCAGGCCAUGAUGGUACAAUGGUUUUCUUGUUCUAUUACCCAGUCCAUAUUUUCCCUGUCCUCACUCAGAACCUCAAUUUGUCUCAGGUCUUUAUCUAAUACGAGUGACCUAAAGCACCAAAGUCCAGUCCUGAAGACAGGAUUUUCUGGGGCCUAUACAGGGUUUGAGCAACCGAGGCCUGCUGAGUGAGCCCUUUCUAGGCACCGAGGGAAAUGCCUUCAGGCUAAGGAGGAGGGAAAAAUCUAACCAAAGAUUCAAACCAUAGGAUGCUGUGGGCAUGGCUCCAAUGCCAGGUGAUUCCCGAAGAGGAGAUACUGCUAAGGUCCCAUGAGGGAAAUUCUUUUGUUAUCGGGCCACAAGAGAGCAAACACAAGUUCUGAACAGCAUCAGGAGAAGAUGCCUGAGCAGCUUUGCUGCCGACUGUGAAGAAAGUGGAGGACCAGAAAGGCCUCAGUCUCCAUGCUGAAGUCUGUGCUGUGAGGACAGGGGUGUGUCUAAUGCACCAAACUCCACCUUCUACCCUGACCUCAAGCUCUUCAAGAAUAACUGCAUCGGGGCAGAGGCUGAGGAACUUCUGUCCAUAAUAAAACCCAAGGCCUUUUAUGCCCUGCAAGGUGUGUUAGGGACUUGACGCCAACCAAGUUUGCCAAACAUUUCAAUUCUUCUGUAUACAGGAGCACAAGUCAUAGAGGUACCAAGAAAUGCCCAUGCCCAUUUUGAAAAGCUACUUUAAGUGGAUUUGGAAGUAACUCUGGACAGUGGGCUGAUGUAUCUUUGUGGGCGGGCCCUUUGGUGCCAAUACACACUGGAGUGGCUGCAAUAAUUCUGAAUGUACUGUGGGAAUAGAUGUAGGGUGUGUAUGCAAUACUAUGUUUAACUGUAAAGGACAUUCCCUGUAAGAAAAUACCCAAAGUAGAACAAUGAAGAGGCACAAGUACAUAAGCAGGAGUGACAGCACGUGUUGUUCCAUGCCGACAUCCCUAUCCUGGGGUAGGUCAGAAAUGAGAACCCUAACAAAGUGGGUACUGUCUGACGAGCAUCCACUACUAAUGGAAGUGUCACCUCCGGGAAAGAAGCAAACUAGACAUGAAUGGCAUCUCACAGCUACAUGGAAAGGUGCCUAAUCACCUUCCCAAUGUGGCUGUCUCAGACACGGGAUCUGUGCCAGCAACUUGGACUUCUUGGGGACUGUGGUGCACUGAAGUUUUGGAGGAUCCUGGGCUGGGUUCACAGAUGGGUCAGCUAAGUUCAAGGCCAGUGGGGGAUAUUGUGCUGCUGCUGUGGGUACCCAAAGGAAAUUGCUCGAAACUGCAUGGAAAAGGGAACUCUGAUCAGUGGGCGGAGUUGCAGGCCAACACUUGCCCUAGAAACACGCCCCAGAAAUGCACCUUGUUACAGGUCACCGACUCGGGGGCAGUCAACAGUGGAAUUGGCAGUGUGGUCUGGUGCUGGUGAUGAGACGACUGGAUGAUCACGUUGAAGCUUCUAUGAGGACAAAUGUUCUGGUGCAGAUUGCACAAGAUCCUAACCCCUGGUUUGUGACUCAUGUGGAUGCCAGGAAAAAAGGACAUCCCUUCAAUAAUAGACAUCCCUGAAAUCCACAAGCCAAUAAGGAGACCUGUACUGCCCUGGUGCCAGGAGCCAUGAAAAGAUGGAAUGGGCUGCCCAUAAGGAGAAACGGAGAGAGGUAACAGUGAAGGCUGUGCACCGAGGAAAGCAUACUCAUCAUGAAGGCACUUUGGGCCCUAAAUGUGGCAAUUCCCUGAAGUGGUACCUUCUGUUAUAUUUAAAUAGAAUGUUGGACAGGUUGGUGAGCAGAGGAGGCCCAGACAGCCUAUAAAAUUCCUAAACCACAUAAGUAACACUUCUUGCACUAUCUCCUAUGUGUACUUCUGAGCUGCUGGAAUUUCAGAGUAGCAAAAAUGAGCCAGAGAAUAGGUGACUCGAAUAUGGUACAUCUUUUGCUGUCUGGCUAUGCUUACUGAAUUUAGGCAGUUGUGGACGUUGUUGACAAUGCUCAUAAAUACGAGGCGACAAUUCCUAAGGUAGUCCUGGUGGCCCACAGUGCAUCAGUGGGUGAAAGAGGGUUUUUAGGGUGCUCCACAGUGUAUAAGGAAGAAAUUCCUGAGUCACUUAGGAGUGAGUCGGAAUGCGGUAUUGUCUAGACGUGGAAAGAACUGCAAACACAGUGAAGUGACUGCUUCAAGGACCAGUCAUACUCAGCACUUGGCUGUGGAAAAACAAGAGUAACCCCGGCUGGUGUGAGGAGAGAGCCUCUUGGGCCCUGGGUGUCAGCGGUAGAGGGAGCUGUCUGCAGGCCAUCUGGACAAUUUAUCUCAGAGUGCCACCACCACCCUCCACUGCUGGCCAGCAUAGAAUCUUCAUCAGAAACCUCCUGAUAGCCCUUGACACCAGGAAGUAGCUUCCAGUGAAAUGAAAGAACAAGAUGAACUUUGCAGACACUCAUAUUGUUAGGCUUUUUAAUAUGCUUGUCACUGACUGUUCUAAACUCUAUAGCAUGAGUGACAAUGGGCAGACAUAUUGCCCUGGACUUCCUGCUGGCCAGUCAGGGAGGUGUGGGAAGUGUGUGGUUGGUAACGCCUCAUGCUGCACCUGGGUUAAUGACACAAUUCACUGGCUUAACUCCAGAUGUGGCACCCAGCUGUGGUCUGAUCGAACUAAUGGGAGUAAUAGCGUGAUCACUUCAUCUAAUGUCGCCCUAGACAAACAGAACAAAUUUGGUCUGAUACCUUUACAGUUACUUACAGAAUAUAAUGAUGGCGGCCUAUGCUACCAAGAAUUCUUCACUGGAUAUGUGAACGGUCAGGAGGUGGGGCAUGAAGUUGUAGUGGAAUGCCUCCACCCUGCCCCCUGACGACCUUGCACAUAUCCACACAGCCUUCCAGGCAAAGGUAUGAGUCACAGGUAAUCUGACUCUUGGCAGAACACCUUGUUAUCCUCCAGGAACAUAAGAGGAAGAGUCCUAUGAGGAGCUGCUGUAAGGCCAUUUUCCACUCCUGUAUAUCUGCUAAAAGGCUGCUAUUGCCUCUGGGUUCUGAUGAAGUAUGAGGCUUUCUGCCCCACCCUCCUCAGAAUAGAGCUGCAGAAUAUAAAACUGGUUAGCUGCAGUCUAGAACUGGAUCCUCAGCAGUGGGUACCCCCAACUUGUCUUGCGGUCAUCUGGCUCUUUUCAUUUCAGUUUCAUGUGUGUGUAUGUGGGUGUGUGUAGGGGUGUGGUUAAGGGACAAGAGCCACAGGGAGCUGUCACCUUUGGCUCUUCUUCCUUUCAGUGUCUAUGCACAUGCUAAACAGCAAAUCAACUACAGCUUUUUCUUCUUAACUGGUCAAAUCCGUCAUGCUUUGCCCUUUUUUGUACACUUGACAAGUUAAAGUUCUUGCACCUUCCCCUCCCUACCAAGAAUAAACCAGAAGCGAAGAAACUGUAUCAGUGAAUGCCACAAUCAAAGACUCAAAAGAGGGGGCAAUACCUAUCACAUCCCCAUUUAAUGUACCAGUUUGGCUUGUUUAGGAGUCAAAUGAAUUUUGGAGCGAGGCUGUGGGUUUUCACGAAGUAAAUCAGGUAGACACUCUCAUUGCAAUUGCAGGCUCAGAUCUAACAGCUUUCCUGGAGCAAAUCAACACAGCCCUUGAAAGCUGGCAUGCAGCUACUGACCCAGCUAAAGCUGGUUUUCUUCAUACCAACUUUCUAGGACCACCAGAAAUAGUUUGCUGUUACCUGGUAGUGCUAACAGUAUACCUUCACAGCAUUGCCACAGGGUAGCUCCAUUCUGUUCUCUGCCAUGACAUGAUCUGUAGAAAUACUGAGUGUCUUGACAUUCCACAAAACAUAAUACUGGUCCACGUUGAUGGCAUUAUGCUGAUCGGAUUUGAUGAGCAGGAAAUUACAAGUAUUUUAGAUGUCUUAAUAAGACAUAUGUGAACCACAUUGAGGGAGGUAAUACCCACACGGAAUUCAGAGGCUGGUCACCUCGGUGAAGGUUCGGGAUUCAAUAGUCUGGAGCACAUAGAAAUAUCUCCUCCAAGGCAAAAGACCAACUUCUGCAUUUUGUACUACCUACCACAAAGAGGCACAACUGUUGAGAAGCCUUUGGGAUUUUAGAGGCAACAUGUAUCACCUUUGUGAAUCUACAGGGAUACUUGUAAGGCUCCCAGUUUCACGUGGGACCUGGGACAGAGAAACCUCUGCUGUCAAUUCAGGCUAUAUAGUACAAGCUGCUCCAUCAUUGGUCCUUCUGACUCAACAGACCCAGUGAUACUUUAAGUGUGGCAAAGAGUUGAUGUAUGGAGCUUCUCACAAGUAUGAAUAGGAAAAUGGCGCCUGUAGAAUUUUUGAAUAAAAUCCAUGUCUUCUUCUACAGAUAACUAUUCUCUUUUUGAAAACAGUUUCUGUGUUGCUACCACGCCUUGGUAGAUACUGAGUGGCUAAUGCUGCCCAUCACAAACUCACCUUGCCAACAGGCCAGGCAUGUGCAAUCAUCAAAUGGACAUGGUAUAUAAGAGAUCAAGUUUGAGUAGGUCUGGAAGAUAUGAGUAGAUUUCAUGAACAGGCACUUCAGACUCCUUUGACACAAACUCCUAUUGCAUUGUGUCUGACCUUCCCCGUGCCUGUGACCUCAUGAAGUGCUCCUUAUGACUAGUUUACUGCGGAAAACACUUGGACCUGGUUACAGCUGAACCUGUGCAAUAAGCUGGUCAUACACAAAAAUGAACAGUCUCAGCAUUACAGGGUGAUCCAGAAGAACGAUGGAGUUGCCUUCCUUGCCUGUAAUUGCACUCCAGCCUGGGUAACGAGAGCAAGACUGUCUCAGGGAAAAAAAAAAAAAAAAGGUAACCCAAAUGCGCUGGAUAUGACCAGCAGGAGCAUGGAGAAACGCAGUUAUUAGCGGGGUCAGGGCUUGUGAAGCAGCAGCCUGCGGUGUGGACAAGAUCAGGCUGGCUCUGUGGUCACCCACAGUCAAAACCACCCAGGGGCUGCAAGGACGGGGAGAAGGGUUGGAGUCUGUUAUCCAGCUCCUCUGAGAAGCAGACACCAAGACGGGAUUAAAUUGCAAGGGUUUAGUGGGGAACAUACCUUUGUGAAAAGAGUUACAAAAGACUGGGAGAGCCACCAGACCAUGAAGCAAGUCUCACUGCCAAUGUGAGGGAUAGAGGGGAAGAGGCGGGGUUGGAGCGCUCUCGACUGCAGUUCAGAGGAAAAUCCACAGAGCCUUUACUGUCUUUGAAACAGUCAGCAAAGAAGGCCUGCAUAUCCCAGCAACCAGCCUGGCCUCAGCACCCCCACUGCACUUGGUCAUUAGAGGAGAGCUGCUGCAGGAGGCCUGGCGUGACUCACUACAAUGUGGAUACCUGCGAGGAGCCACGCUCCCUCCAGGAGGUCAGCCUCAGGGUCCUGGGCACUGAGGUUGGGGACCAUGGAUGGAAGCGUAGCUGAGAAAACCCAGAGGUUCCUACACCCCAGAAGCCCAUGCCAGGACCAGGAAGAGAACACUCACAGAAAGAACUAGAAGACCUCCUUGCUGGUGGGGUUGUCUUAGAAGGGAGGAGGUCAGUGGGACUGGAACCUCCUCCAAGACACCAGAACACCAUCUGUGGAGCUCAGAGAUGGGUGGUAUCAGGAAAGAGGCUGUUUUCUAUUUACUUUUUAAAUCAAAGUUAUAUAUUCACAGGGAACAAACAAGUGGUUAAAAAACACCUUGGCCGGGCGCGGUGGCUCACGCCUAUAAUCCCAGCACUUUGGGAGGCCGAGGCGGGUGGAUCACCUGGGGUCAGGAGUUCAAGACCAGCCUGGCCAACAUGGUGAAAUCACAUCUCUACUAAAAAUAUAAAAAUUAGCUGGGCGUGGUGGCACGUGCCUAUAAUCCAAGCUACUCGGGAGGUUGAGACAGGAGAAUCACUUGAACCUGGAAGGCAGGGGUUGCAGUGAGCUGAGAUCGUGCCACUGCACUCCAGUCUGGGUGACAAGAAUGAAACUCCAUCUCAAAAAAACAAACAAAAAUACCUAAGAGUCUUUGCUCAGAACACAGCAACUCUGUCCCCUUUUCCUGUCUCUGAGCUGAGUCGCAGAGCUUCUCCUGUGCUGUCUCCUUCUCCCAGGUGACAGUGACCCCCUCUGUUCCCUGAGCCCUCACGGCUAUGCAGGAUUGCUGCCUUGGUAAUUUGUCACAACAAUUGGGUGAUACUUUGACUCUUAACUUAGUUUUCCACAUGUGUAGCAUCUCACAGAAGAUUAAAUGAGAUUUUAACUCAUGGGGCUGAUUUUCUCCAGAAUUGGUAUUUAUGUUAAAACCCUGAUAAAACACAUGUUUGAGCUCCUUGGUGCUGUCCCACCUCAGUGUUAGGGCCUCUAUUCAAAUACCUGCAGUGCCUGGGAGACCCCACAUUUAUCCAAGUGUCUGCCCUGUUCUCAGAUGAGCGUGUAGCACCAAUCUUCCCUCCAAUGGCUCCCAGCUUUACUUGUUGGGGACAUAGGAAUCUCCAAACCAUGCUUAUAUUCUUCCCAACAUAAACUUGGACCUCAGUCCCCCAACUUCACACUGCUGUUGAGUGUCGAGCUCCUCUUUUUUUUUUUUUUUUUUUGAGAUGGAUUCUCACUCUGUUGCCCAGGCUGGAGUGCAGGGGUAUGAUCUCAGCUCACUGCAACCUCUGCCUGCUGGGUUUAAGCAAUUCUCCUGCCUCAGCCUCCUGAAUAGCUGGGACUACAGGCGCAUACCACCACAGCAGGCUAGUUUUUUGUAUUUUAGUAGAGAUGGGGUUUCACUGUGUUGCCCAGGCUGGUCUUGAACUCCUGAGAUCAGGCAAUCCACCUGCCUCAGCCAGUUUGAAGCCCCUGCAUUCAGAGCUGCAGUCCCUAGUUUGACUCCAGUCCCUCUCCUCCCAGAGUCUGGUCCUCCCCUCAGGGCUCCAUUUCCCUUUGAUUCUAUCAACCACAUCUGCACAGUUAGCAAGAAUAAGACAAGAGGGGAUUCAGCAGUAACGGAAGAGGCAGCAGGGGAGGUUGAUUUAUGUGGGAAGUAGAAAAGUUCCUUUUUAAAGUUUCCUUUCUUGUUAAAGAAUAAGUGUGCUAAUAACUUUAUUAAGCCCUAUCCUAUGUAGCUGUUAGACAUACCAUGCUUACAGACACAUAGUACAUUCUAUGUCCUUGUACUUUACAAGAUAUCUGUGCUGGACAUGCUCACAGGCAUGUCCCAGUUCUCCACUGCUUUUACCUGUUUAAAAAAGGUUUAAGUUAUUAGCCAAUUGGGUUUUAGUUUAGAUUAUUAGUCUGGCUCCAGCCAGUGGAGAUCAGACACAGCAGUAAGGACAACCCCAAAUCCAUAAGGGAUCAAUUUGUCUGUUUUCCUUUGUUCAUUGUACUCCCCUUCCUGCAGUCCAGAAAGUAGAAUUUGCAUUGCUGAAAGAUCCUUUGUCUCAGUGCUGAUUUUUCUUUGCAGCACCGAGCAUCUAUUUCCAACACUUUAUCAUCACUGUGGAAGCCUCAGGCCGUGUGCACUGGGUAUGGUUUUGGAAGUGGUGGAGCCAGACAGCCAUUCUUGGGCUCUGGGUUCACCCCAGCUCGUUGGGACUCUUGGACAUUAGGAAUCCCUAGAAGACAGCCUAGUCAUUGAGAUGGAGUUUCAAGAGCUUACCACACUCCCAGCUUUGUGUGAUCUUGACAAGUCCACCCUCUCUGAUCUCCAGUUUUUUUUUAAUCUCUAAAGUGUGGGGCAUUUCUUUAUUCCAUAAGGAAGAACAACAGGCAGUUUUGAUGGAGUGAGAGAUUGGCUGGAGGUGGAAGAAGACAAGGAAUAUUGCUGAAAUGGUUUUCAAAUUGAUGGAGGGGGAUGUCCAUGGAUGAAUCACAAAGGAAGGGAAUGGGUGCAGAGGCCUCACUGAGAUCCAGUGACAGCAGGAGCUGCCAGGAUCCGAGCUGGACCAGAUUUGACUGAAGUUUAGGGGAGCCUACAUGACGGCAUUUUCCAUUGGCAUAACUCCGUACAUGGACAACAGCAAGGGACUCAAAAUUAGUUUGGCAGAAGUUCAAAAUUAUGCUACAAAACUCAAGAAGUGGCUAAAAUAUCAAAUAUCCUUUUUUUUGAGAUGGAGUCUUGCUCUGUCACCCAGGCUGGAGUACUGUGGUGUGAUCUCAGCUCACUGCAACCUUGGCCUCCCGAGUUCAAGCGAUUCUCCUGCCUUAGCCUCCCAAGUAGCUGGAAUUACAGGCACCUGCCACCAUGCCCAGCUAAUUUUUGCUUUUUAGUAGAGACAGGGUUUCACCAUGUUGCCCAGGCUAACCUCCAACUCCCGCCUCAGCCUCCCUAAAUACUGGGAUUACAGGCAUGAGCCACCACACCUGGCCAACUAUCAAAUUUUUAAAAGGACAAAAUCAGUGAGAAACCUUUUAGAAAUAUGAUUCUAGAAAAUAAAGGAUGGGAGGAGUAGCACAGAAGCUCUGUGGAGAGGUGAGCCCUGGGAAGACAGUUGAAGACUCUAUGAUCAACAAGCACCUGAGCCCAAAAAGACAGUCUUGGUUCCCCAGGUCCUGAGACAAAGCAGGAGGAAAUCUGGGCACAGAGAUACAGCUCUCUAGGCCCUAUGCUCCUUCCGAUCUCUUCCCCAAAUCCUACAGAUAGGACUCUAGUAGAGUAUACCUGGGGCAACCAGGGGGCCGUGAGGCCUGAGGAGCCAGGAUAGAGCUGGCUGCUUCAAAAGAUGAGAAGCCAUGGGGAUGAGGAAAGUGGAAGGACAGUGUGCCUCAGUGUCCAGUCAAAAGUCAGGAUUCCUGACCUGUGGUAAGUAAAGAAUAUCAGUUACCAGCAGGCCCAGGAGCCCCAAGUUAUAUUAGGACCUCAAGAGGAGAGGAAUUCAUUCAACUCAUACAGGUAUGUGAUGGCAAAAAACCAUGGCUGGGCUCAAGGCUUUAAAGUCUUCUAUGAGAUUCUUCAUGGAGCAACACUCCAUCAAAGCCAAUAUAAAAAGGAGCCGAUUUAGCAAAUAAUUCUUCUUGCUGUGCUUUAUGCAAACAAUCAGGCCAAGUAUUAUAAGACUAAAGCUUAUUUUGCAAACAGAUCAGUCCUUUCAUGGUUUGUUUUUAAUAAAAAUGAAAAUUAGAGAGAUAAAAGGUAUGUUUUAAGAACUAUCGUACACCUGUUAUUUGAUUCUAGUCUCAUUAUCUGUUUUGGGGGUUUCUCUCUGCAGUUUACACUGAUCCUGCUUAUUUCUGUGAACCGACCAGUGACCUCUGGCUACAGCUCAGAGGAAAUAAGAGGCAUAGGUAAUGUAAAAAUCGGGAUCAAUAUUCUAAUUCUGGGCGCAUAUUGGAAUCAGCUGGCAAUAUCAUGCACCCAUGUCUUAACAGGUACGAUAAUAGCCAUGAGCCACCUGGGCGCAUUGGCAGCCUCAGGGUUUUUUGAAGCUGUCCUCACCCCCUUAUUUCAUUUGGACAACUCUACUUGUGUUAAAACCCCAGGAACCAUCUGUAUUUGCGGCCAAUCAGUUCACCGAUGCUUCCCCUCUAACUGGAUUGAAACUUGUACCAUAGACUGUGUAUACCCGGACAUCUCCGUGGUUCCUGGAAAUCUCUCUCUUCCAGCAUCACUCUACAGGCAUCCUAUCUUGCCCAAGGUGAAGAGGGCCAUCCAGUUAAUUCCACUUCCUAUGGGACGUGGUGUUAUAGCCUGUGUGGAAACCAGAAUUGCUGGAAUCAAAAAGUCUUCUUGAUCUAUAACCAACUCUCAAAGGAAACAGCCAACAACAUCGAGGCCACGGCUAAAAACCUUAACGGUGUAAGAACAAAUGGACUCUUCGGCAGCUGUAUCCUCCGAAAUCCCCAAGGACUAGCUAUGUUAAUGGCAGCACAGGUUGGAAUUUGCUUAGCCUUAGAUAGCAAAAGUUGCAUUUGGGUAAAUGAAUUGGGAAAAGUACAAGAUAACAACAGACAAUUCCUAAAUUGAGCCUCUGCUUGAUGGAAACAAGCCUCUCAGGUUUGAUGAGGAAGAAACAUGGAAAUGGUUCUCUGGGUUUUUUUCCCUUUUUAGAUCCACUUGUUAAUCUCCUACUUUUGCUCCUUUUUGGUCCGUGUCUUCCAACUCUAAUCGACUGAUUUGUCUCCUCUCACCUUCAGGCUGCCAAGCUCCAGAUGAUCCCCAGUGAGGGAUACCAUUCUCUCAAUGUUCAAGAGUCACCCUUCUACAGAAGAGCCCUAGACUGCCCAUCGGUGGGACACAGCAGAGGUGAAUUCCCUGUCUCUGUUAUACCUGGCUGGAUACUAUUUUAUUUAUUUAUUUAUUUUUGAGAUGGAGUCUUGCUCUGUUGCCCUGGCUGAAGUACUGUCAUGCCAUCUCAGCACACGGCAACCUCUGCCUCCCGGGUUCAAGUAAUCCUUUGCCUCAGCCUCCUGAGUAGCUGGGAUUACAGGUGCCUGCCACCACACCUGGCUAAUUUUUGUAUUUUCUUUUUUUGAGACAGAGUCUUGUUCUGUUGCCCAGGCCGGAGUGCCUGGGGGGGAUUGGUCAGAGUGAUGGGAAAAACUAUAGGGAAAGGACACAAACCUUCUGAAAGGUCAGAAGCAUUUGCAGAGUCCCGGGGCAGGUGUUCUAUAAACUGAGGCAGAGGGCAGAAAGUAGGUAGAAGGAAGUGUAGGGGAAUUUAUCUUAAACAGGUUUGUUUACUUAUAUUGGCCAGGAACUGACCAUUGAUCAUCUGCCCACCUGGCGUUCCCUGAAAGGGGAACAAUAAAUGUUAAUUACCUGCAGGUUGUGUUUGCUCCAGGUUUUCAGCAUUGUGCCUGCACUGAAUAAAAGCAAACAGCUUCAGCUUUUCUGGCCACUAGAGUGAGGCAGUCGCCUAGCUGCCCUUACGCUGCAUACCUGUGUGUGAGUACUCAUUGCAUUUGUUGGUCGGCCAGGGUUUGUGGGACACACCCAGCAGGUGGUCACCUGUGUGAGAAACGCUGCAAUGGAUCGCGACGGAGCCCUCAAAAAUGAAAGUGAAGUGACUGCCUGAUGGAGUCUCGCUCUGUCACCCACACUGGAGUGCAGUGAUGCUAUCUCAGCUCACUGUAACCUCGGCCUCCUGGGUUCAAGCAAUUCUCCUGCUUCAGCCUCCUGAGUAGCUAGGACUACAGGAACAGGAGCUCUAGGCUCUUUCUGACCAAGGGAAUCGAUAGAGCCAGGAAACAGCCAGUCAGCAUCUUGGGCAAAGGCCUAGGCGCUCUGUGAUUACCGUCACCAAUGAAGGACACAGCCUCAACACAAGUGAGCAGUCCCCACCUCCCACCAUGACCAUGACGGGUUCUCCUGAGUGUCAACAUCUACCUCACCACCCUGUAGCUCCACAUUAUGUGGGUCUGGGGAUCAGUUGUAACAGCUUUUCUUGUGAGAUAUGGUUUAUCUUCAAGACACAUUUGUACUAUCUAUAUGAAACUAGGGUACAAAGAAUAAGCUAUAUUUUUAUUUUUAUUUUUUAGACAGAGUCUCGCUCUGUCACUCAGGCUGGAGUGCAGUGGUGCCAUCUCGGCUCACUGCAACCUCCACCUCCUGGGUUCCAGCAAUUCUCCUGCCUCAGCGUCCUAAGUACCUCGGACUACAGGCAUGUGACGCCUACCAAAUAUUUUGUAUUUUUAGAAGAGAGGGGGUUUUACUUUGUUGGUCAGGCUGGUCUCAAACUCCUGACCUCAGGUGAUCCAACCGCCUUGCCUCCCAAAAUGCUGGGAUUACAGGUGUGAACCAUUGUGGCAGGCCUUUAAAAAAAUAAAAUAAAAUAAAUAAGGCCUUUUCUUUUCCUUUCUUUUUUUUUUUUUUUUUGAGACAAGUUUCAUUCUUGUCCAGGCUGGAGUGCAAUGGCAUGAUCUCAGUUCACUGCAACCUCUGCCUCUUGGGUUCACACAAUUCUCCUGCCUCAGCCUCUCCAGUAGCUGGGAUCAUAGGCACCUCCCCCACACCCAGCUAAUUUUUUGUAUUUUUAGUAGAGAGGGGUUUCACUGUGUUGGCCAGCCUGGUCUCAAACUCCUGACCUCAGGUGAUCCACCCACUUUGGCCUCUCAAGGUGCUGGGAUUACAGGUGUGAGCCACUGUACUACUGGGCAUGUAGAUUUGUUUCUAUUUUCUAGUUUUGCAAAUGGAUUCACAUGGUAUGAACUCCUUAUAUAUCUUGCUUCCCUUUUAUUUGUUUUUAGAGACAGAGUCGCUCUGUCACCAGGCUGGAGUGCAGUGAUGUGAUCUUGGCUAACUGCAACUCCACCUCCUGGGUUUAAGCAAUUCUCUUGCCUCAGCCUCCGAAACAGCCAGGAUUAUUGACACACGCCACAAUGGCCUGCUAAUUUUUUGUAUUUUUUUUUUUUUUUUAGUAGAGACAGGGUUUCACCAUGUUAGCCAGGCUGGUCUCGAACUCCUGACCUCAGGCAACCUGCCCACCUUGACCUCCCAAAGUGCUGGGAUUAUAAGCGUGAGCCACUGCACUGCUUAUAAAAAAAAAAAGGCCUCCUCCUACCUUUUUAUUUUUUGAAAUGCAGUCUCACUUUCAGGCUGGAGCACAGUGGUAUGAUCUUGGCUCACUGCAACCUCCGUCUCCCAGGUUUAAGUGAUCCUCCUGCCUCAACGUCCCAAGUAGCUGGGAUUACAGGCACACAUCACCAUGCCUAGCCAAUUUUUGUAGUAGAGAUGGGGUUUUGCCAUGUUGGCCAGGCUGGUCUUGAACUCCUGACCUCAGGUAAUCUGCCCUCCUAGGUCUCCCAAAGUGCUGGAAGUGCUGGGAUUACUACAGGUGUGAGCCACUGCACCUGGCCUAUCUUGCUUCUUAUACUCAGUAAAAUUAUUUUUUGAGAUUCACUCUUGUUCUAUUAAGUGGCUUUUUAUUGAGGAAAUGUAUCCUAUUGUAUGUAUAUGUCUAUACAUAGGAUACAUACAUAUAUAUAUAUGUACAGUUUUUUCUUUUCUUUUUUUUUGAGAUGGUUUCACUCUGUCGCUCAGGCUAGAAUGCAGUGGUGAGACCACAGCUCACUGCAGCCUCAAUCUCCUUGGCUCAAGGCAUCCUCCUACUUCAGCCAGCUGAGUAGUUGGGACCACAGGAGCACCACACUUAGCUAAUUGUUUUUAAUCUGUCCAGCCAUCCUUUUUUUUUUUUUUUUUUUUUUUUGAGACAGGGUCUCCCUUCAUCUCCCAGGCUUGAGUGCAGUGGCACAAUCAUGGCUCACUGCAGCCCUGAGCUCCCGGGUUCAAGUGAUCCUCCCUCCUCAGCCUCCUGAGUAGUUGGGACUACAGGCACACACACCUGGCUUAGCUAAUUUUUUGUGUUUUAUUGGUCGAGACACAGUUGCGCCAUGUUGCCCAGGCUGGUCUUGAACCCCUGAGCUCAAGUGAUCCAUCUGCCCCAGCCUUCCAAAGUGCUGGGCUUACAGGUGUAAGCCAUUGUGUCUGCACCCAUCAUUUUUUCAAUCCAUUCACCUCUUGGUGGACAUUUAGCUUCUUUACAUUUGGGGUGUUACAUGGCUGACAUAAACAGCCAUGUACCUGUCUUUAUGCAAACAAAAGCUUUCAUUUCUGGUGGGUAAACAACUUAGAAUGGCCAGUCAUAUGGUAUAUUUUUUAAUUUUUGGGACAGGAUCUAGACCGUCACCUAGAUUGGAAUACAGGAGCAUGAUGACAGCUCACUGCAGCGUCAACCUCCAGAGCUCAAUCAAUCCUCCCACCUCAGCCUCCCAAGUAGCGGGGACUACAGACAUGUGCCACUCUGUCGGCUAAUUAAAAAAAAAAUGGUUUUUGUAGAGAUAAGAUCUCUGCAAAAGAACACUCAAAAGACAAUAGGCAGCUGGGUGCAGUGGCUCAUGCCUGUAAUCCCAGCACUUUGGGAGGUCAAGGUGGGCAGAUCACCUGAUGUUAGGAGUUUGAGACCGGCCUUGCCAACAUGAUGAAACCCCGUCUCUACUAAAAAUACAAAAAUUAGCUGGGCGAGGUGGCACAUGCCUGUAAUUCCAGCUACUUGGGAAGCUGAGGUAGGAGAAUUGCUUGAAUCUGGGAGGUGGAGGUUGCAGUGAGCUGAGAUCUUGUAUUCCAGCCUGGGCAAUAAAGCAAAACUCUGUCUCAAAAAAAACAACAAAAAAAAAAGAGUUUAGGCAACAUAACCUGUUUAUGUUGCCCAGGCUGGUAUCCCAAGAAAGUUUUUGACAGUUCCUUAAGAACUAGAACCAGCACCCAAUAUGGGAGCACCCAGAUACAUAAGACAAGUUCUUAAUGACUUAUAAAGAGACUUGGACUCCCGCACAAUAAUAGCGGGAGACUUUGCCACCACAUUGUUAAUAUUCGAUGGAUCGAUGAGAUAGAAAAUUAACAGGAACAUCUAUGAUUUGAACUCAGACCUGGAACAAGUAAACUCAGUGAAUAUUUAUAGAAUUCUUCACCCCAGGUCCACAGAACAUACAUUUUUCUCAGUAUCACAUUACACCUAUUUUGAAAGUGACCACAUAAUUGGAAGUAAAUCACUCUUCAGCAUUUGCAUAGCAUUUCAGACUUAAAUGAAAUAUUGGCUGGCUGUUUGUUAUUUUCUUUCCUUAUUCCUUUCUGUCUCCGCUGUUAAGCACAAUUAUCUGCAUAAAAGAGGUUUUUAAUACCUAUUUUUAGAUUGUAUUCCAGCCUGGGCAAUAGAGCAAGACUCCUGUUCUCUCUCCCCCUUUCUCUCUUUCUUUCUUUCAAAAAAAAGAACUAGAACCAGCAAUAAAGACAAAAAUUAACCAUUGGAAGUCACCAUUGACUAACCCAAUGAAGAUGAUACUGUCCCUUCUCCAAUCAUCGGUCACUAUUAGAGGGGCAACAAGACUCCCAGUGCCAGGGAGAUGUGGGAAAAGAGAAAGUCAGGUUUUUCACCAACCUGAUGCCUAAAAACAAAACAAAAAAACAAUGAAAUGAGAAAGUCCUGGAUGGGCUGUAAUGAAGUAUCUUGGCAGAAGUAUGAAGCCAAGAAAGACCGGCAUAGAGAAGGUGAAUAAGUCCCCAUGGCUGGGCCAUGAAAUCAGGGAGCAAAGAGGUGAGAGAGACGCUGAGAAGGCUGUGAGAUGCUAGAAAUUUCAGGAAGCAGGUUCAGAACAUGAGUGACUGAGUCGAAGCCUUUUGGACAACUAGCUUCUUUGCGCUCCUGGGUGUUGAGUAUAAACUUUUUCUGUGAGUGUGGGAUCUGUCUACUUAACGGAUCAAGUGGCAUAGAUAUAACCCCAUGCCAAACAUUCAAAAGACAAAAGGCAAGUGUGUGCAGAAACACUGUAAGAGGUUGCUCUGACCAUGGCACUUGGGACAUAAAAGUAUUCAUGCUGGCCAGGCGCUCAUGCCUGUAAUCCCAGGACUUUGGGAGGCUGAGGCGGGCAUAUCAUUUGAGGUCAGGAGUCCAUGACCAACCUGGCCAAUAUGGUGAAACCCUAUCUCUAUUAAAAAUAUAAAAAUUAGCCAGGUGUGGUGGUGCACAUCUAUAAUCUCAGCUACCUGGGAGACUGAGGCAGAAUUGCUUGAACCUGGGAGGCGGACGGUGCAGUGAGCUGAGAUGGCACCACUGCACUCCAGUCAGGGUGACAGAGCAAGACUCUGUUAAAAAAAAAAAAAGGAAAAGAAAAGAAAAAAAAAGUAUUCAUGCCAUAAAAAGCACUGUCUCAUUUUUUUUUUUCUUCAGAGUUUCACUCUGUUGCCUAGGCUGCAACAGUGCAGUGGCACCAUCUCGGCUCACUGCAAUCUCUGCCUUCUGGAUUCAAGUGAUUUUUACAUGCCUCAGCCUCCUGAGUAGCUGGGACUACAGGCACAUGCCACCACACCUGGCUAAUUUUUGUAUUUUUAGUAUAGACAGGGUUUAACCAAGUUAGCCAGGCUAGUCUUGAACUCCUGACCUCAGGUCAUCCACCCAUCUCGGCCUCCCAAAGUGCUGGGAUUACAGGCGUAAGCCACCGCGCCCCACCUCAUUAUUCUUUAUAUCCUAGACUCAGGCCACCUGGGUCACAAGGUAGACAACUGUCAAGUGAACAGUGGUUAGCUACUUUGGGAGUUUAGAGAGGGAGGGAAGGAAGGGCAUCGUGCUACGGGCUGGAGUAUUCAUAAAAGAUGUCAAGUUCAUUGACCUGGUCUUGCAAGAAAGAGAGGUGAAGUCAUAGAAAAAUAGUGAAAGUGAAGUACAAGUGUGCAUCCUGGAGUAGUGAGCAUUAGAAUGGGACAGGAGAGGAAGCUGGGACUCAGGAUGCUGGGAGACAAGCUGGGGAAGCAACUGGGAAGCAGAACAGGCAUAAGGACACAACCAUGCCAGCCAUGCCAUCCAUAAGGCAGCAGCAGCAGCACCGGCUGGGCUCCUGUUUGGUUACCUGAGAUAUGGUCUACUACUUGUUAAUUUAUCCCCAAACCAAGUCAGAUUAGAACCUACUUGAAAAAAUGCUUUCUGUUAAGUGCAUAAGUCGUCUGACAUGCAUAAAGAAAAUGCAAGUUGCUGGACUGCAGGCAGAGUAUGUAAAAUCAUAUUUGAGUAUUUGUGUGCUUAUAGAUGUAUUAUGCACACAUGGCUGUAAAGAUACAAGUUCUAUCGGUCACGUUUAUUUAUUUUUAUUUUUCAGAUGGAGUCUCGCUCUUUCACCCAGGUUGGCAGGUUGGAGUGCAGCGAUCUCGGCUCACUGCAACCUCUGCCUCCUGGGUUCAAGUGAUUCUUGCCUCAGCACCCCGAGUAGCUGGGAUUACAAGCACCUGCCACCACACUCAGCUAAUUUUUUCAUAUUUUUAGUAGCGCGGGUGUUUCACCAUAUUGGCCAGGCUGGUCAUGAACUCCUGACCUCAAGUGAUCCACCUGACCCAGCCUCCCAAAAUGCAGGGAUUACAGGCAUGAGUCACCGUGCCCAGCUUAUCAGCCAAGUUUUUUUGGGUGUAAGCAACAGAAUUUACCUCUAAUAUUUGAAGAAAAUAAUUUGCUAGAGGGAUGUGAAGGGUCUCAGAAUUGAAACUCAAUGAGGUCAGAACAAACAGGAAUCGGAAAUCCAGUGGAUCUUACUGCACAAAUGGCUUGAGUCAUUCUGUUAUGAAAAGUCUAAGCACUUGCUCUGUCCUCUGGUGGUUCUGAUUAAGAUGCGGUCUGGAUCCACAAGAGUCCAGUUUGUUUGGCUUUGUUAAUAAACCCAGUCUUCGGUUGGAGGAAGCGGGGAAUGGCUGGGACUAAAGGUGCACACCAUGCCUGGCUAAUUUUAAAACAUGCGUUUUGUAGAGAUGGGGAUCUUAGUAUGUUGCCCAUGCUGAUCUCAAUCUCCAGCUUAAGUGAUUCUCCCUCCUCAGCCUCCUGACCCAGCCACACAUCACAUCCUUAAUUUUGGUCCCCUGUGGAAAGGAGAAACCUACCCCAUACUCUCCUGGAAUGGCAGGGAUUUUUAAUACUGUAUGAGUAGGGUUUAAUGAGUUCAUGCCAAAGGGGAAAAAAACAAUCUUUGCUCCAAACACACAGGAAAACUGGACAAACUAAAUAAUGAUAAAAAACAGACUGAAGUAGAACACAAAAACCUCCUGGAAUCAGAAAUAAAAAGAAAGCUAUCUGGUAAGUCUGGGAUGGAGUACAGUGUCCCUAGCGUCCUUCUGGACUUUAAGUACCAGAUACAACCAUAGAGCUGGGUUUAGAUGGAGGUUUCCGAGCCACUAGGAGAGGUAACCGUAAGACCACCAGAAGGUUGGAAGAGGGGAAAAACAGACAAAAAUGUAAUCCUGGCCAGGUGCAGUGGCUCACGCCUCCCAGCACUUUGGGAGGCUGAGGCGGGUGGAUCACUUGAGGUCAGGAGUUUGAGACCAGUCUGACCAACAUGAUGAAACCUCAUCUCUGCUAAAAAUACAAAAAUUAGCCGGACAUUGUGUGGUGGGUUCCUGUAAUCCCAGCUACUCAGGAGGCUGAGUCAGGAGAACUGCUUGAACUUGGGAGGCAGGUGGAGGUUGCAAGGAGCCGAGAUCACGCCACUGCCCUCCAGCUUGGGCAACAGAACAAGAUUCUAUCCCCCCCAUCACCAAAAAAGAAAGAAAGAAAAGAAAAAGAAAGCUUCACAAUCUGAAACAUUUUGAGUGCUAACACUAACAUGAUGCUCAAAGGCGAUGUGCAUUGGAACCGUUUGGAUUUGAGAUUCGGGAUGCUCAACCAGUAAGCACAUAAUGCAAACGUUCACAACUCCAGGAAAAAAAUCUGAAAUCUGGACAUUUCUUGCCCCAAGUAUUUCAGAUAAGGGAGGCUCAAUCUGUAUUUAAAAUGCAGUAAACAGAGGUGGGAGGAUCCUUUGAGCCCAGGAGGUGAAGGCUGCUGUUAGCUGUGUUCAUGCCACUGCACCAUUCCAGUGUGCCUGGCAGAAAUAACAAAAUAAGAACAGGUAAAAGCAAAGCCGUUCUGGUUGACGUGGAGGUGGCAGGACUGAUCCGCUAUUAAAGGAGCAUUAAAGGAGUGUGGUUUGGUGACUUUCCUUCUUCUGCUUUUUUGGACAACUAUAAUCUUGUAUUUCUAAAAAACAUACUGCUUCAAGCAAAUAAGAAGCACCUUAAAGACAAACUGCUUUGUUUUCCUCUGGAUUACCCACACUAUCAGUAAAUAUUUUAGUUAUGCUAUAAGGAGUUACAAUAAGAAAGCUCCAUUCAAUCAGUUUAGAAACUAAAAAAUAAAGUGUAUACUUUGGUAAAUAGUCCCAUUAUUAUAGAAACACCAGCUCUAAGGAGUAUAGAGCUUUUCUUUUUUUAGAGGCAAAGUCUCACUCUAUCGCCCAGGCUGGAGUGCAGUGGCACAAUCUCAGCUUGCUGCAGCCUCGACCUUCCAAGCUCAAACAAUCUUCCCACCUCAACCUCCCAAUAGCUGGGACCACAGGCCCACAACAGCACACUGGCCUAAUUUUUGUCUUUUUUGUAGAGACAGGGUUCCACCAUGCUGCCCAGGCUGCUCUCAAUCUCUGGGUCUUAAGUGAUCCAUCUACCUCAGCCUCCCAAAAUGCUGGGACUGCAGGUAUGAACCAGUGUCCCGCCUAGUUUUUUUUCAUAAAAGUUAUUUCACUUCCAUUUAAAUAUUUCUCCAUGAUCAAGGUGAAAGUCUAAUAUUUCAUUGUUAUAGAACCAGGAUUGUCUUAACACUGCAGUAGAGUCAACUCAAGAUGCAAGAAAAAGUAUAAAAUGCGUCCAAAUUAAGUGGAAUUUUAAAAACCAAAGGGCAAUAAUAAGAUUGUAGAAACAUUGUUCAAUAAUACUAAAAGCUAGUUUAGAAAAAAAAAUGUAGAGAUCUUUGACACUCUAAUCAAGGUGAAUGCAGAAUAAAAAGUGGCCAUGCCUAGGGAAAUACAUACAUAUACAUAUAUAAAAUUAAAUACAAUGUAGAGCUUUAUAUACAUUCAUUUUUUGAGAUGGAGUCUUGCUCUGUUGCCCAGGCUGGACUGUAGUGGAAUGAUCUUGGCUCACUGCGACCUCCACCUUCCAGGUUCAAGUGAUUCUCCUGCCUCAGCCUCCCAAGUAACUGGGAUUAUAGGUACCCGCCACCAUGCCCAGCUAAUUUUGAAUUUUUAGUAGAGAUGUGGUUUCACGAUGUUGGCUGGGCUAACCUUGAACUCCUGAUCUCAGGUGAUCCACCAGCCUCAGCCUCCCAAAGUCCUGGGAUUACAGGCAUGAGCCACUGCACCCAGCCCCUGCUAUAUUCUUAAUAUAGCAAAUUAGUCCAAGCAUACUCUCAAGCAUACUCUUCUGGCAUUUGUGAAGUAUCAAGUUAUUUAAAAAUAUUUGGAAAAAUUUUAAAAGAUUGAAGAAAACAAGCUAUCCUAUCACACAUAACAUUGUUAUACUAAUCGCAUAGAUGACUCCCAGGUAUCACACACUAAGACAGAACUUGGGAGGAGGUGGGACGGGAGCAGGUUUGGUAGCAGAAGGAAGGAAGAGCUCUGUUGAGGUAUUUUAAGUGUGAGAUGCUCAUUAGACCUUAAAGUGGAGAUGAGGACACAGCUGGAUGUAUGAAUCUAGAACUUACGGGAGAGGUCUGGUCAGCAGAGAGACAUUUAAACCUAUGGGAUGCCACCCAACUUUUGCUGAGAUUUUGUUGCUUUCUUCCUGUUAAGUAGUCUGACUUUGCAAGUUUAAGCUUCAGAAGUUCACCCAUCCUAUCCAGAUUUCUGUUUUCAUGUUUAGGUAAAUUUAGUAGAGGACUAGAUAGAUGGAUUCUCCUGCCUCAGCCUCCUGAGUAGCUAGGAUUACAAGCGCCCACCACCAUGCUUGGCUAAUUUUUUAUAUUUUUUAGUAGAGAUGGGGUUUCACUAUUUUGGCCAGGCUGGUGUCAAACUCAUGACCUUGUGAUCCGCCUGUCUCGGCCUCCCAAAGUGCUGGGAUUACAGCCGUGAGUCACCACCCUGAACAUUUCCUCAUUAUUUUUAAACACUUGCCUGUCAUGUCAUUUCCCUUAUUAAAAAUCAUUAACUUUUCUCUCUUAUCUGAUGCUAAGCUUCUCUCUGGCAUUUCACAAUAUAUUCCCCAUUGUCAAGAUGGCUCCUUCAUUCCCCCUGAACACACCAUGAAUAUGACCCUGGCCUCUGACUUUAUGUAGACUAUGACCCAACUCCUCAAUCUGUAAGAGCUUGAGAGCUCCAUGAUGUCUCCAACUGUUCCAGCCCAUCAUCUCCCCUCAUCUCCACAUACAUCUGCAUGGUAGUCUUAUUCAUCUGCUCUCUUGCAUCUUAAAAAUCUCAAACCCCCAUCUCAAAUUUUACAAGCCCACUAAGAAGUCAUAUUGGAAUGAUUUUCCAAACAUGAAUGCCAAAAUCAUGCAUUAUUUCUAAUACAAAUACGUUAUUUUCUACCCCCAAAAUACAUGAUCCAAAACUAAAAUGCAAAGGAAUAAAUCAAUUGUAUCCAAAUCUAAAUUAAGAGGACUCCAUUAUCAACCUAGAGUACUAAGCCAGUAAUACUGUGAAAGACAGAAUUUAGUCAGAGGCAUAGAGAGCGAGCCUCGGCAGAAAGGGCGAUGAGUGUCCACCAGGACUAAUGAAAUGACCGCCUUCAGCCCACACAGUUCCUAUCCAAGGCUGUACCUUUUUCACUACCAGUGAAACUACCACCAACUGUGGGAUUUAGGUACACUGUCCCAGGAAGAGGCAACGAGACCUGGGGAAAACUGUACCUUAUCUUCCACUUAAAUGGAAUUAACUAUCCCUGUAUUUCUCCCAAGUCUGCAUGGAACAAAAACCUGGUUUUAGCAUAAUCCAACAAAUAUGAGACUCCAAGCAACCAGGACAGAGUGAGAACUCCAUGUGUAAACAUGCAAACACAUACACACAUGCACAUGUGAGAGCACACACACUCCAGACAAUAUGGCCAAGCAUGCCAUACAAGACUACAUGUUUAUUGUGAAACAAUCUGAGUUAGGAAACUAGGAUUGUUGCCACCACCAUUUAUUUAUCUAGUUCAUAGCUAAGGAUAGAACACUGUAGCUGUGCUGGAGAUGCAAAGAGGUCCCUGCCCUUAAGGGGCUUACAAUCUUACGGGCGAAUGUAACAGGCACAUAAGAAGCUGGACUACAAGAAAGCAUGAGCUAACAAAUGCCAGACUUCGGAAGGCAGCGUAGUUUGAGAACAUAGGAUUAAGAGUGACAAAACCCACAUCCUAGUCCCAACCCAGUAUGUCACUUAAACUCUCUGGGUUUUUUUUGUUUGUUUUUUUACUCCAGCUAUAACAUUAAAUAGUAAGACCGAGAGGCUGUCUGCGUGUUUCCAUCAUGAUUCAGAUCAAAAGCUGGAGGUGGCGGCACCUGAGCGGGACACUGAAGGAAGGCCAAGGAGGUGUUUCAGACAAGGAAAGCGGUACUGAGGUAGCUGUAAGCUUGGAGUUUGGCGGGGAGAAGACAGACAAGUGUCACAAGGAGCAACGGCAGAGAGGUGGGUGGGUGGCAGGAGUAA